CUUGCUCUGGUGGCGAGUGGCGAACGGGUGAGUAAUAUAUCGGAACGUACCCUAGAGUGGGGGAUAACGUAGCGAAAGUUACGCUAAUACCGCAUACGAUCUAAGGAUGAAAGUGGGGGAUCGCAAGACCUCAUGCUCGUGGAGCGGCCGAUAUCUGAUUAGCUAGUUGGUAGGGUAAAAGCCUACCAAGGCAUCGAUCAGUAGCUGGUCUGAGAGGACGACCAGCCACACUGGAACUGAGACACGGUCCAGACUCCUACGGGAGGCAGCAGUGGGGAAUUUUGGACAAUGGGCGAAAGCCUGAUCCAGCAAUGCCGCGUGAGUGAAGAAGGCCUUCGGGUUGUAAAGCUCUUUUGUCAGGGAAGAAACGGUGAGAGCUAAUAUCUCUUGCUAAUGACGGUACCUGAAGAAUAAGCACCGGCUAACUACGUGCCAGCAGCCGCGGUAAUACGUAGGGUGCAAGCGUUAAUCGGAAUUACUGGGCGUAAAGCGUGCGCAGGCGGUUUUGUAAGUCUGAUGUGAAAUCCCCGGGCUCAACCUGGGAAUUGCAUUGGAGACUGCAAGGCUAGAAUCUGGCAGAGGGGGGUAGAAUUCCACGUGUAGCAGUGAAAUGCGUAGAUAU
rnacentral:rRNA from 1 species